rnacentral:tRNA from 1 species
AGCACGCUGGCGGCCACCGGGUCGUUCGGGUCGGUGUCCCGGGCUUGAUCGCGUAUGAAGGCGAUCAGUCGGCGUUCGGCGCGUUGGCGGGCCU